AUGGGCAGCAGGGAGCAGCAGCGCGGCCGGAGGGACCGCUUCAUCGUCAUCCCCUUCGCCUCCUGCCGCUCCGCCGCCAGCGUCGACGUCGUCCAGUCCAAGAAGCCCCAAGCCGCGUCGGCGUCCACCUCAGCCUCAGCCUCGUCCUCCUCCUCCGCCGCUCCUCCGCCGCCACAGGCGCAGCCACCGUCGCUGUCCGCGCGGCAGUUCGAGCUCGCCAUGGCCGCGCAGGCGUCCGCCGCCACAGGCGCAGCCACCGUCGCUGUCCGCGCGGCAGUUCGAGCUCGCCAUGGCCGCGCAGGCGUCCGCCGCCACCACGGAGACCACAGCCAGCACCAGCGGCGCCGGCCGGCGCCACCGCCACUACAGCUAGCGGCGACGUCACCAGGCGGGGCGUGA
rnacentral:rRNA from 1 species